rnacentral:rRNA from 1 species
CUACGGGUGGCUCCAGUGGGGAAUAUUGCACAAUGGGCGAAAGCCUGAUGCAGCAAUGCCGCGUGUGUGAAGAAGGCCUGCGGGUUGUAAAGCACUUUCAAUUGGGAGGAAAAGUUCAGAGUUAAUACCUCUGGACCUUGACGUUACCUUUAGAAGAAGCACCGGCUAACUCCGUGCCAGCAGCCGCGGUAAUACGGAGGGUGCAAGCGUUAUUCGGAAUUACUGGGCGUAAAGCGCACGUAGGCCGCUUUGUAAGUCAGGGGUGAAAUCCCACGGCUCAACCGUGGAACUGCCUUUGAAACUGCAGAGCUUGAAUCCUGGAGAGGGUGGCGGAAUUCCUGGUGUAGGAGUGAAAUCCGUAGAUAUCAGGAGGAACACCGGUGGCGAAGGCGGCCACCUGGACAGGUAUUGACGCUGAGGUGCGAAAGUGUGGGGAGCAAACAGGAUUAGAUACCCUAGUAGUC